UUCAUUUCACUCCUUAUCACUCCUAUAUGCUAAUAUUGUUUACAGAACAUUAGUUGCAGGCUUAGUGAAUUUGACUACAACCAUCCACAACGUAAUUGAGCGUUUGACCGUAUAAAUGUUGAAAAUAAUGCACGCAUGCAGACGAUAUUAGAGAAGUAUGCUGCUCUAUUAAAACUACAAGACCUGGACUUUAAUUCAAAUGUGGCAGAUAGCGAUAUCACUUUAAAGUCGCGAUUUGAAAACUGACCUAAACUAAUAUUAAAUAGAAAGACGAAGAAAUCAAUAAAGCAGCUCCUUUUUUUUGCUACGCGUAUCGAUUGGAUUGGCGAGAAAAAAAUUAAUCCAUCACAGCGUGACGUCCGCAAUAUUUAAUUCGUCAUUGACACACUUAGCUCAUCGCAUUGCACGCUCCAUGUGCUCUUUUUUGAUCCCCUAUUGGCUAUACUGCGAAGAAACAACGAAUCCUUCGCACUCCCCGCCUUGUACAGUCCACCAUAGUUUAGUUUAGCAUUAAGACACAUUUAAACAGUCAUCAUCUGUAUCUGCAUGUGAGGAAUGUACAGAAUAAUUUUCAACAUUCCGUCUUGUUUACUUGACGGGUCAUAAGUAUGAAAGUUGAAAAAAGUGAAAACAAGAAGUCAUGGCUGAUUUUUCAAUUUUUUUACACCAACAGUGAAUAUAGAGAAUAUGAAUAGUGAGCAAAAAGCCACAAGAUUUUUAGUUGGAAAAAUUUGUAUGUGUUCAAUUUGAGCUUUUUUUUGCAGGCUUGUGCUUGGACCGAUUUAUUCCAUUUUCACUGCUAAUCUGCGUGCAAGAACUUGCAAUGUUUUUGCUCAAUUUAAAGCCGAUAGCGAACUCGAGAACGUUGCCCACGCAGACUUUACAUAGA